UCGGGACUGAUUAUUUUGUGACUGAGUGGCGGACGGGUGAGUAACGCGUGGGUAACCUGCCUUGUACAGGGGGAUAACAGUUGGAAACGGCUGCUAAUACCGCAUAAGCGCACAGCAUCGCAUGAUGCAGUGUGAAAAACUCCGGUGGUAUAAGAUGGACCCGCGUUGGAUUAGCUAGUUGGUGAGGUAACGGCCCACCAAGGCGACGAUCCAUAGCCGACCUGAGAGGGUGACCGGCCACAUUGGGACUGAGACACGGCCCAAACUCCUACGGGAGGCAGCAGUGGGGAAUAUUGCACAAUGGGCGAAAGCCUGAUGCAGCGACGCCGCGUGAGCGAAGAAGUAUUUCGGUAUGUAAAGCUCUAUCAGCAGGGAAGAUAAUGACGGUACCUGACUAAGAAGCACCGGCUAAAUACGUGCCAGCAGCCGCGGUAAUACGUAUGGUGCAAGCGUUAUCCGGAUUUACUGGGUGUAAGGGGAGCGCAGGCGGUGCGGCAAGUCUGAUGUGAAAGCCCGGGGCUCAACCCCGGUACUGCAUUGGAAACUGUCGUACUAGAGUGUCGGAGGGGUAAGCGGAAUUCCUAGUGUAGCGGUGAAAUGCGUAGAUAUUAGGAGGAACACCAGUGGCGAAGGCGGCU
rnacentral:rRNA from 1 species